ACUCGACGCAGCUGAAUGCAAGUAGAAUUAACCACCUUCAAUCACAAGAUGACAUUGUCACCGACUCUGUGGCUAAGGAUCUCCUUCGUGUCUCCAACAACAAGAACGCCUACAAAAAGCUCUCCAGAGUCUCAUCACUGAGAGUUUGUUGCGGCUGAAAGAGCCAUCAGUGCUGCUGAGAUGCAGAGAGAUGGACAAUAAAGUUGUUGAAUCAAUCAUAGAGGAUGCUAAGAAGCAUUAUGCAGAGAAAGCCAAAGUCGCGUCGCCUAAUAUAACCAUCGACGAGAAAGUGUUCCUCCCUCCACCUCCUAAUCCUAAGCUCCCUGAUUUCCACGACCUUCACUGCUGGGGAGGUGUGGUGGAACGAUUGUCUGCAAGAAUACUUUAGACAUUGACUUCAGAAAGAAGCUUCCUCAGGUUUGGGAUAUGUUCUUUUCGUUGGAGCUCCUGAAACCUCCAGGGCAUGAUCCUACCAAACAUGAUACCACAAAUUACUUUCAGCUAGGUCACCAAUCCUUUCAGUUCAAG